rnacentral:misc_RNA from 1 species
GAAAUGCGAUAAGUAGUGUGAAUUGCAGAAUUCAGUGAAUCAUCGAAUCUUUGAACGCACAUUGCGCCCGCCAGCACUCUGGCGGGCAUGCCUGUUCGAGCGUCAUUUCAACCCUCAGAACCCCUUGCGGGAUCUGGCGUUGGGGAUUGGCAUCCAGCCAGCCCCGAAAUCUAGUGGCGGUCCCUCCGCGACCUCCCCUGUGCAGUAGCGAUACCUCGCAGCGGGACAGCGGUCUGACCACGCCGUAAAACCCCCAACUUCUCAAGGUUGACCUCGAAUCAGGUAGGAAUACCCGCUGAACUUAAGU